ACGAACGCUGGCGGCGUGCUUAACACAUGCCAGUCGAACGGAAAGGCCCUGCUUUUGUGGGGUGCUCGAGUGGCGAACGGGUGAGUAACACGUGAGUAACCUGCCCUUGACUUUGGGAUAACUUCAGGAAACUGGGGCUAAUACCGGAUAGGAGCUCCUGCUGCAUGGUGGGGGUUGGAAAGUUUCGGCGGUUGGGGAUGGACUCGCGGCUUAUCAGCUUGUUGGUGGGGUAGUGGCUUACCAAGGCUUUGACGGGUAGCCGGCCUGAGAGGGUGACAGGCCACAUUGGGACUGAGAUACGGCCCAGACUCCUACGGGAGGCAGCAGUGGGGAAUAUUGCACAAUGGGCGGAAGCCUGAUGCAGCAACGCCGCGUGCGGGAUGACGGCCUUCGGGUUGUAAACCGCUUUCGCCUGUGACGAAGCGUGAGUGACGGUAAUGGGUAAAGAAGCACCGGCUAACUACGUG
rnacentral:rRNA from 1 species